GCCGCCUGCGGUCUUGCGGGCGGUAUGGAUCUGCCGUCGUCGGUGGCGCCUUUCAUUUUGCGCGGGGUGUGCCUUUUGGGCAUCGAUUCCGUGAUGUGCCCGAUUGGCCCGCGCAAGGCCGCCUGGGAGCGGCUGGCGAAGGACAUUGAUCAUGCGAAACUUGCUGAAAUGACUAAGGAAAUCGGCCUCGGCGACGUCUUCGACGCAGGCCCGAAAAUUCUCG
rnacentral:misc_RNA from 1 species